rnacentral:rRNA from 1 species
CCUGCGGCGGCCUAACACAUGCAAGUCGAACGGUAACAGGAAUUAGCUUGCUAAUUUGCUGACGAGUGGCGCACGGGUGCGUAACGCGUAUACAAUUUACCUUACACAGGGGGAUAGCCCAGAGAAAUUUGGAUUAAUACCCCAUGGUAUUAUGGAUAGGCAUCUAUUUAUAAUUAAAGAUUUAUCGGUGUAAGAUGAGUAUGCGUCCUAUUAGUUAGUAGGUGAGGUAACGGCUCACCUAGACGAUGAUAGGUAGGGGUCCUGAGAGGGAGGUCCCCCACACUGGUACUGAGACACGGACCAGACUCCUACGGGAGGCAGCAGUGAGGAAUAUUGGACAAUGGGCGAGAGCCUGAUCCAGCCAUGCCGCGUGCAGGAAGACUGCCCUAUGGGUUGUAAACUGCUUUUAUAUGGGAAGAAAAAGACUUACGUGUAGGUCAUUGACGGUACUAUAUGAAUAAGGAUCGGCUAACUCCGUGCCAGCAGCCGCGGUAAUACGGAGGAUCCGAGCGUUAUCCGGAAUCAUUGGGUUUAAAGGG